rnacentral:rRNA from 1 species
CCCCUUCGGGGGUACUCGAGUGGCGAACGGGUGAGUAACACGUGGGCAAUCUGCCCUGCACUUCGGGAUAAGCCUGGGAAACUGGGUCUAAUACCGGAUAGGACCACGAGACGCAUGUCUUGUGGUGGAAAGCUUUUGCGGUGUGGGAUGGGCCCGCGGCCUAUCAGCUUGUUGGUGGGGUGACGGCCUACCAAGGCGACGACGGGUAGCCGGCCUGAGAGGGUGUCCGGCCACACUGGGACUGAGAUACGGCCCAGACUCCUACGGGAGGCAGCAGUGGGGAAUAUUGCACAAUGGGCGCAAGCCUGAUGCAGCGACGCCGCGUGGGGGAUGACGGCCUUCGGGUUGUAAACCUCUUUCAGCAGGGACGAAGCGCAAGUGACGGUACCUGCAGAAGAAGCACCGGCCAACUACGUGCCAGCAGCCGCGGUAAUACGUAGGGUGCGAGCGUUGUCCGGAAUUACUGGGCGUAAAGAGCUCGUAGGUGGUUUGUCGCGUUGUUCGUGAAAUCUCACGGCUUAACUGUGAGCGUGCGGGCGAUACGGGCAGACUAGAGUACUGCAGGGGAGACUGGAAUUCCUGGUGUAGCGGUGGAAUGCGCAGAUAUCAGGAGGAACACCGGUGGCGAAGGCGGGUCUCUGGGCAGUAACUGACGCUGAGGAGCGAAAGCGUGGGGAGCGAACAGGAUUAGAUACCCUGGUAGUCCACGCCGUAAACGGUGGGUACUAGGUGUGGGUUUCCUUCCUUGGGAUCCGUGCCGUAGCUAACGCAUUAAGUACCCCGCCUGGGGAGUACGGCCGCAAGGCUAAAACUCAAAGGAAUUGACGGGGGCCCGCACAAGCGGCGGAGCAUGUGGAUUAAUUCGAUGCAACGCGAAGAACCUUACCUGGGUUUGACAUGCACAGGACGCGUCUAGAGAUAGGCGUUCCCUUGUGGCCUGUGUGCAGGUGGUGCAUGGCUGUCGUCAGCUCGUGUCGUGAGAUGUUGGGUUAAGUCCCGCAACGAGCGCAACCCUUGUCUCAUGUUGCCAGCGGGUAAUGCCGGGGACUCGUGAGAGACUGCCGGGGUCAACUCGGAGGAAGGUGGGGAUGACGUCAAGUCAUCAUGCCCCUUAUGUCCAGGGCUUCACACAUGCUACAAUGGCCGGUACAAAGGGCUGCGAUGCCGCAAGGUUAAGCGAAUCCUUUUAAAGCCGGUCUCAGUUCGGAUCGGGGUCUGCAACUCGACCCCGUGAAGUCGGAGUCGCUAGUAAUCGCAGAUCAGCAACGCUGCGGUGAAUACGUUCCCGGGCCUUGUACACACCGCCCGUCACGUCAUGAAAGUCGGUAACACCCGAAGCCAGUGGCCUAACCCUUGGGAGGGAGCUGUCGAAGGUGGGAUCGGCGAUUGGGACGAAGUCGUAACAAGGUAGCCG